CUGCUGCUGCUUCUGAAUUAUGAGGCUUGCCAUGCUUCACUUCUUCAGUGGAUAGCUUUAUUUCUGCAAAGUGCAUAGAAUGAAGUUGUAGACUGCAGGCACUGAAAGACCUAAAUGAAUGUAACCCCAACUCUCCCUGGUAAAUCCUGCCUCCCAGUACAACCUGUCAUUUGAAACUAUCAUUCAAGGUGACUGGACUCUUUUAACGAAGGGGGCAAGUAUGUGAAACAAGAUGGCACCUCAGAGUCUGAGCAACUUACUAUAGCUAGUCAAGUGGCAGAGCCUGGACUGAAAAGGGGAGUCUGAUGCUUCUCCCAUUGCACUAAGCUUCUUCCAUGAAUGUCAAGUGCAGCUGGAUGAUGGCAUUCUUUUCAAACUCUAAUCAAGGUGACUCUUUAGUAAUCGGGGUUGUUGUGUGUAGUAUUUUUGUUUGCUUUGUAUCCUUCCUCUACAGGAAAAAGGAAAGAUGACACAUCUACACGGCUGCAGAGCACAAGUACCUUGACCUGUAAAGACAUCUGCAAAUAUUCUGAUCACUUUAUAAACUAUCUUAAUGUUCAUCUGGAAUGGAUCAGAAAAUAAACCCAAUAGUUUGAGAAGCACUGAUGAGAAGAUAUGUUUAGAACAGUCAGCACUGUCUGAAGUUUGCUUCAGUGGAGCUGAGGGUGAGUAUAUUCCUAAGAUGACUUAUGUGCUUGGGAGCUUUCUACCUACUAUUUCAAAGUAAAUACAUGUAGUUUUAUAAGGAGGCACCCCUAAUGGUAGCCAAUUAAUUUCCCCACAUUUGUAAGGUAUAUAUAAUUCAUAAAAAGCUUUCAUAUUAAUGACCUAUGUUCUGAAUGAAGGACAGGCAUUACUAUGUCCAGCUUAUGGGUGAGGAAAUGGAGGUUUGCAUACUGGCAUACUGUCAGUAAAUGAGAGCUGAGAUGAUUACACUCCAGCUCUCUGGCCUUCAUGUGGAUGCUUAAGUUCAAGUGUACUUGAAAGUCCAUUUUUUUCUUUUAUUCAUAUGUUGGUUAAUUGAAUUUAUUUAAUCAUAGUUAUCGUUGUGACUAAAUACCACCUCGGGCUCAUUUCUGGUUGCAUU
rnacentral:lncRNA from 1 species